rnacentral:rRNA from 1 species
AGAUUGAACGCUAGCGGGAUGCUUUACACAUGCAAGUCGAACGGCAGCGCGGACUUCGGUCUGGCGGCGAGUGGCGAACGGGUGAGUAAUAUAUCGGAACGUGCCCAGUAGCGGGGGAUAACUACGCGAAAGCGUGGCUAAUACCGCAUACGCCCUACGGGGGAAAGGGGGGGAUUCUUCGGAACCUCUCACUAUUGGAGCGGCCGAUAUCAGAUUAGCUAGUUGGUGAGGUAAAGGCUCACCAAGGCGACGAUCUGUAGCUGGUUUGAGAGGACGACCAGCCACACUGGGACUGAGACACGGCCCAGACUCCUACGGGAGCAGCAGUGGGAAUUUGGACAAGUGGGGGAAACCUGAUCCAGCCAUCCCGCGUGUGCGA